rnacentral:rRNA from 1 species
UUGUGAGGUUAAGCGACUAAGCGUACACGGUGGAUGCCCUGGCAGUCAGAGGCGAUGAAGGACGUGCUAAUCUGCGAUAAGCGUCGGUGAGGUGAUAUGAACCGUUAUAACCGGCGAUUUCCGAAUGGGGAAACCCAGUGUGUUUCGACACACUAUCAUUAACUGAAUCCAUAGGUUAAUGAGGCGAACCGGGGGAACUGAAACAUCUAAGUACCCCGAGGAAAAGAAAUCAACCGAGAUUCCCCCAGUAGCGGCGAGCGAACGGGGAGGAGCCCAGAGCCUGAAUCAGUGUGUGUGUUAGUGGAAGCGUCUGGAAAGGCGCGCGAUACAGGGUGACAGCCCCGUACACAAAAAUGCACAUAUUGUGAGCUCGAUGAGUAGGGCGGGACACGUGGUAUCCUGUCUGAAUAUGGGGGGACCAUCCUCCAAGGCUAAAUACUCCUGACUGACCGAUAGUGAACCAGUACCGUGAGGGAAAGGCGAAAAGAACCCCGGCGAGGGGAGUGAAAAAGAACCUGAAACCGUGUACGUACAAGCAGUGGGAGCCUCUUAAUGGGGUGACUGCGUACCUUUUGUAUAAUGGGUCAGCGACUUAUAUUCUGUAGCAAGGUUAACCGAAUAGGGGAGCCGAAGGGAAACCGAGUCUUAACUGGGCGUUAAGUUGCAGGGUAUAGACCCGAAACCCGGUGAUCUAGCCAUGGGCAGGUUGAAGGUUGGGUAACACUAACUGGAGGACCGAACCGACUAAUGUUGAAAAAUUAGCGGAUGACUUGUGGCUGGGGGUGAAAGGCCAAUCAAACCGGGAGAUAGCUGGUUCUCCCCGAAAGCUAUUUAGGUAGCGCCUCGUGAAUUCAUCUCCGGGGGUAGAGCACUGUUUCGGCAAGGGGGUCAUCCCGACUUACCAACCCGAUGCAAACUGCGAAUACCGGAGAAUGUUAUCACGGGAGACACACGGCGGGUGCUAACGUCCGUCGUGAAGAGGGAAACAACCCAGACCGCCAGCUAAGGUCCCAAAGUCAUGGUUAAGUGGGAAACGAUGUGGGAAGGCCCAGACAGCCAGGAUGUUGGCUUAGAAGCAGCCAUCAUUUAAAGAAAGCGUAAUAGCUCACUGGUCGAGUCGGCCUGCGCGGAAGAUGUAACGGGGCUAAACCAUGCACCGAAGCUGCGGCAGCGACGCUUAUGCGUUGUUGGGUAGGGGAGCGUUCUGUAAGCCUGUGAAGGUGUGCUGUGAGGCAUGCUGGAGGUAUCAGAAGUGCGAAUGCUGACAUAAGUAACGAUAAAGCGGGUGAAAAGCCCGCUCGCCGGAAGACCAAGGGUUCCUGUCCAACGUUAAUCGGGGCAGGGUGAGUCGACCCCUAAGGCGAGGCCGAA